rnacentral:misc_RNA from 1 species
ACUUCUUUACCUGGUUGGACUGUCGAAUCCAACAGGGCUGUUCGCUACAUCGACUCCUACCACUUCUCAGUUCCAGGAGGCAAACGCGCCAUUGAAUUGCUCUCAGGAAAGGAAGGCAUAAUUUCCCAAAUGGUUGAAACAACGCCAAACAAGGCGUACACCAUGACAUUAUCACUGGGCCAUGCUGGGGACAAAUGCAAGCAGCCCAUGGCAAUUAUGGCCUUCGCUGGAGAUCAGGCCCAAAACGUCCAUUAUACUCCCAAUUCUAAUUCCACCUUUCAAACUGCUAAUUUGAACUUCACUGCCAAGGCCGAUAGAACCAGGAUUGCAUUCUACAGUGUUUACUACAAUACCAGGACAGAUGAUAUGAGCUCCCUAUGUGGGC